UGUUUCAAAGGCAGCUAAAUGUCGCAUGGCUGAUAAUUAAUCCCUCAUGCAAACAACUCGAUCUCAAGCCUUCACUAUCCAUCCCCUCUCAACAUGAAUGCAAAAUUAACAUUGAUGGUUCAGCCUUAGGCAAUUCUGAUCAGAUGGCAACAUGACAUGGAUUGAAUUGGAUUUCAUUGACAGCAACUUUAAUUAUUUUCAGCAAAGGUAUGCACAAUCAUAAAAUGCAAAUGAGGAUAAAUUCUUCAAUUACACAACCUUGCUGAGCUUGGAGCUGAAGUCAGACCAGAAGCAAACAAGGGAUUCCUCUCAUCGAAAAAAAAGGAAUUCCCAUCUAUUAUCUACUAGAUCUGGAAACGUGCGUUGCACGUUUAUUCCAAAAUACUUCAUAUAAAUUUUAUAUUGCAAAUUACAUAUUUUAUCCCCUUUGAAUCUAUGUAAUUUACUAAAAAAAAGUCGUCCUUUUCAGAUAGGAACUAGGGUAAAUCACAUAAAUAUGCUAUAUUAUAAAAAUAUUUACUAUUUAUGUCAACAUAAUUUUUCUAACUAAAUAUAACAGUUUUUUGGAAUUAAGAAAAUUGUACGGUCUUCGCCUCUUUCUCAAUCCUUUUUCCUAUUCUUCUGCUUCUUUGAGUCUUUCUUUCUUUCUUUUUACUCCUCUGCUUCUUCGCCUCUUUCUUCUUCUUCUUUUACUCUUUUAAUUUUUUGUCUCUUUCAAUGGUGUUAUUUAUCUUCCUCCUCUCAUCUUUUUUUUAACUCUUGUUCUUUUCUUUGAACUUUUUAUCUAAAUAAUCUUAUUACUCAAAUCAAUUUUUUUCAUGUCACUAUUUUUAUUCAAAAACAAGAUGA